UACAGAGGGGGCAAGCGUUGUCCGGAUUGACUGGGCGUAAAGCGCACGUAGGUGGUGCGUGAGGUGGGGUGUGACACCUCCCGGCUUAACCGGGAGACGCCAUCCCAAACCCGCGCACUCGAGCCAUGCAGAGGGUGGUGGAAUUGCCGGUGUAGUGGUGAAAUGCGUAGAGAUCGGCAGGAACACCAAGGGGGAAACCAGCCACCUGGGCAUGUGCUGACACUGAGGUGCGACAGCGUGGGGAGCGAACCGG
rnacentral:rRNA from 1 species